AGACUGGACUCUUUGUAAUAAGGCUGAACAUUUGAAUCCUUCCACUGCAAUAUCAAAGGUUUUGGGUUGGCAUCUUUCAACCACAAAAUAUUUCACACGCUUCUACUAUUUGGGUUCCCCAGAGGUGGAGAGAAUGUUACCUAGCAACCGAAAGAAGACAAUUAACAGUUAAAAAUGGUCUGUGGAAGGACUGUAGCUUCCCUUCUUCCAAAUUACUAUUGGGAACCUCAGUCCUAUUUGGACCAUGUCAGCGAUUACACAUUUUUUAUCAGAUGACCAAUCAAAAAUGAAAAUCAUUUAUCUCAUUAAAUCAAAAAAAGGAAAACACAAAUAGCGGUUGACUAGUUAAUAACCAACUUGCCUUGAUGGCCAAAUGGUAUUUGCAGGCACAAGAAGAUCGUACAAGACAAUUAAACUUGUUCAGUCUCAGAGAAAGAAAGUCUGAGGAUUUGGAACCAGGCAACUUUACUUUUGCUUUCAAUUUCCCCCCCAAAAGCAAUAAGAUCAUAAUGUCAUUAUUUGAGGACAGAAUUAACAGGCAACAGAUAAUACAACUUUCUCCACCAACAAAAUCCUUGAUGAUGCUUUAGCAUGGCUCUUCCCUUCCUCCUUCCUGGACUUUACAGAGACAUAAAAUCUAAACCACGUACUUCUGCAGAUGUUGUUUCUGAUUCAUCUUUUCCUAAUUUGGGGAGAGUUUAGAAGUACCAAAUUGAACUCCGAGCUUGCAAGUUCAUUUUGGUUCAUUAUUUUUCCUGUUGGAGCCACAAAAUCAAUCCACCCAGCCGACAUAUUAUCUCUGGAUUCUGAAUCUAACGCUUUUCUUAAUACAAUCCAUUUCAGGAAAUGUAAAA